GACGAACGCUGGCGGCGUGCUUAAUACAUGCAAGUCGAGCGAGGUCCAUCUGGUGGCAACACCAGUGAAGGCCGAGCGGCGAACGGGUGAGUAACACGUGAGCAACCUGCCCCGAAGUCUGGAAUAACAUCGGGAAACCGGUGCUAAUACCGGAUCGCCCCACCUGACCGCAUGAUCGGGGUGAGGAAAGAUUUAUCGCUUCGGGGAGGGGCCUCGCGGCCUAUCAGCUUAGNGGGUGGGGUAACGGCCUACCAAGGCAUCGACGGGUAGCUGGUCUGAGAGGACGACCAGCCACACUGGGACUGAGACACGGCCCAGACUCC
rnacentral:rRNA from 1 species